UACAGAGGGUGCAAGCGUUAAUCGGAAUUACUGGGCGUAAAGCGCGCGUAGGCGGUUGUGUAAGUUGGAUGUGAAAGCCCGGGGCUCAACCUCGGAACGGCAUUCGAUACGGGACGGCUGGAGACCGGGAGAGGAGAGUGGAAUAGCCAGUGUAGAGGUGAAAUUCGUAGAUAUUGGCUGGAACACCGGUGGCGAAAGCGGCUCUCUGGCCCGGUUCUGACGCUGAGGCGCGAAAGCGUGGGGAGCAAACAGG
rnacentral:rRNA from 1 species